CGCGGGAGCUCGGGGCACCGGGCUGAGAGGGCACAGACACCGUGCCGACCGCCUGAACCUGUCCGGGUAAUGCCGGCGUAGGGAG
rnacentral:ncRNA from 2 species